rnacentral:rRNA from 1 species
UACGGAAGGCAGCAGUGGGGAAUAUUGCACAAUGGGCGAAAGCCUGAUGCAGCUAUGCCGCGUGUAUGAAGAAGGCCUUAGGGUUGUAAAGUACUUUCAUCGGGGAGGAAAAAACAAAACUAAUAAUUUUAUUUCUUGACGUUACCCGAAAAAGAAGCACCGGCUAACUCCGUGCCAGCAGCCGCGGUAAUACGGAGGGUGCUAGCGUUAAUCAGAAUUAUUGGGCGUAAAGAGCACGUAGGUGGUUUUUUAAGUCAGAUGUGAAAUCCCUGGGCUUAACCUAGGAACUGCAUUUUGAAACUGAAAUACUAGAGUAUCGUAGAGGGAGGUAGAAUUCUAGGUGUAGCGGUGAAAUGCGUAGAUAUCUGGAGGAAUACCUGUGGCGAAAGCGGCCUCCUAAACGAAUACUGACACUGAGGUGCGAAAAGCGUGGGGAGCAAAACAGGGAUUAGAUACC